rnacentral:rRNA from 1 species
GACGAACGCUGGCGGCGCGCUUAACACAUGCAAGUCGAACGGAAAGGCCUGCUUUCCCUUGUGGAUUGCGGGUACUCGAGUGGCGAACGGGUGAGUAACACGUGAGUGAUCUGCCCCCAACUUGGGUAUAAGCCUGGGAAACUGGGUCUAAUUCCCGAUAGGACUGCAGGGUGGUGCCUGUGGUGGCACACGAUUUUCUAGUGGUUGGGGAUGAGCUCGCGGCCUAUCAGCUUGUUGGUGGGGUAAUGGCCUACCAAGGCGGCGACGGGUAGCCGGCCUGGGAGGGUUGACGGUCACAUUGGGACUGAGAUACGGCCCAGACGCCUACGGGAGGCAGCAGUGGGGAAUAUUGCACAAUGGGCGGAAGCCUGAUGCAGCGACGCCGCGUGGGGGAUGACGGCCUUCGGGUUGUAAACUCCUUUCGACAGCGAGGAAGCCACCUGGUUGGAAGGGUGGUGACGGUAGUGGUAGAAGAAGCACCGGCUAACUACGUG